rnacentral:rRNA from 1 species
AUUGAACGCUGGCGGCAUGCUUUACACAUGCAAGUCGAACGGCAGCACAGGGAGCUUGCUCCUGGGUGGCGAGUGGCGCACGGGUGAGUAAUACAUCGGAACGUGUCCUAUCGUGGGGGAUAACUGAGCGAAAGCUCGGCUAAUACCGCAUAAGACCUGAGGGUGAAAGUGGGGGAUCGAAAGACCUCAUGCGAUUGGAGCGGCCGAUGCCCCGAUUAGCUAGUUGGUGAGGUAAAGGCUCACCAAGGCGACGAUCGGUAGCUGGUCUGAGAGGACGACCAGCCACACUGGGGACUGAGACACGGGCCCAGACUCCUACGGGAGGCAGCAGUGGGGAAUUUUUGGACAAUGGGGGCAACCCUGAUCCAGCCAUGCCGCGUGCAGGGAUGGGAGGUCUUCGGAUUGGUAAACUGCUUUUGUCAGGGAGAAAAGGUACGUGGCUAAUACCACGUACUGCUGACGGUACCUGAAACGAAUAAAGCA